GACGAACGCUGGCGGCGUGCCUAACACAUGCAAGUCGAACGGACAGGCCCUGCUUUUGCGGGGUGCAUGAGAGGCGAACGGGUGAGUAACACGCGAGUAACCUGCCCCUGACUUAGGGAUAACUUCUGGGAACUGGGGCUAAUACCCGAUAGAAGCUCCUGCUGCAUGGUGGGGGUAGGAAAGUUUCGGCGGUGGUGGAUGGACUCGCGGCUUAUCAGCUUGUUGGUGAGGUAGUGGCGUACCAAGGCUAUGACGGGUAGCCGGCCUGGGAGGGUGACCAGCCACAUUAGGACUGAGGUACGCCCCAGUCUCCUACGGGAGGCAGCAGUGGGGAAUAUUGCGCAAUGGGCGGAAGCCUGUUACAGCAGCGCCGCGAGCGUGAUGACGGCCUUCGGGGGGUAAACCGCUUUCGCCUGUGACGAAGCGUGAGUGACGGUAAUGGGUAAAGAAGCACCGGCUAACUACGUG
rnacentral:rRNA from 1 species